AAUAUUGCACAAGGGAGGAAACUCUGAUGCAGCGACGCCGCGUGAACGAUGAAGGNCUNNGGGUCNUNAAGUUCUGUCCUGGGNNNNNCUAAUGACGGUACCCCAGGAGGAAGCCCCCGCUAACUACGUGCCAGCAGCCGCGGUAAUACGUAGGGGGCGAGCGUUGUCCGGAAUUACUGCGCGUAAAGGGUUCGUAGGCGGUUUUUUAAGUCAGAUGUGAAAGGUCACGGCUCAACCGUGGUAAGCAUUUGAAACUGAAAGACUUGAGUUAAGGAGAGGAAAGUGGAAUUCCUAGUGUAGCGGUGAAAUGCGUAGAUAUUAGGUGGAAUACCAGUGGCGAAGGCGACUUUCUGGACUUAUACUGACGCUGAGGAACGAAAGCGUGGGGAGCAAACAG
rnacentral:rRNA from 1 species